CCUACGGGAGGCAGCAGUGAGGAAUAUUGGUCAAUGGCCGGAAGGCUGAACCAGCCAUGCCGCGUGAAGGUCAGUGCCCUAUGGGCGUUAAACUUCUUUUGUGCGGGAGCAAUAAUGGUCACGUGUGGCCAGACGAGAGUACCGUACGAAUAAGCAUCGGCUAACUCCGUGCCAGCAGCCGCGGUAAUACGGGGGAUGCAAGCGUUAUCCGGAUUUAUUGGGGUUAAAGGGUGCGUAGGCGGUGAGGUAAGUCAGCGGUGAAAUGCCCCCGCUCAACGGGGUGAAGUGCCAUUGAUACUGCCUUGCUGGAAUGCGGAUGCCGUGGGAGGAAUGUGUGGUGUAGCGGUGAAAUGCAUAGAUAUCACACAGAACACCGAUUGCGAAGGCAUCUCACGAAUCCGCGAUUGACGCUGAUGCACGAAAGCGUGGGUAUCAAACAGGAUUAGAUACCCCUGUAGUC
rnacentral:rRNA from 1 species